rnacentral:lncRNA from 1 species
UCCUGGGCUUUCAAGACUUCAUUCCUCUAGGUGAUCAUAUCAAGGUAUUCAUUGAGAGCAACUUGCAACUCACCUUUGAGCCCUCCUUCAUGGAAUCUAGCAGUUCAACGUGAGUCUCCACAUCAUCAAGCUUCUCUUUUACAUCACUUAUGAUCACUUCCAUCUUGGAUAGCCUUCUGUCCAUGGUAGACUAAAUGUCUCUCAAAUUGGUUUUCUUCCCUCUUCCGUGGCUUUGCUCAUGGGCCUCUAGAUGUUAACUAACCACAUUCUCUGGGAUGCCAUCUCCUCAACUGUGAUCUA